rnacentral:rRNA from 1 species
GAUUGACCUCGGAUCAGGUAGGGAUACCCGCUGAACUUAAGCAUAUCAAUAAGCGGAGGAAAAGAAACCAACAGGGAUUGCCUCAGUAACGGCGAGUGAAGCGGCAACAGCUCAAAUUUGAAAUCUGGCUCCUUCGGGGCCCGAGUUGUAAUUUGUAGAGGACGUUUCGGGUGCGGCCCGGUCUAAGUCCCUUGGAACAGGGCGUCAUAGAGGGUGAGAAUCCCGUAUGUGACCGGUGACCAACCCCAUGUGAAACCCCUUCGACGAGUCGAGUUGUUUGGGAAUGCAGCUCAAAAUGGGUGGUAAAUUCCAUCUAAAGCUAAAUACUGGCCAGAGACCGAUAGCGCACAAGUAGAGUGAUCGAAAGAUGAAAAGCACUUUGGAAAGAGAGUCAAACAGUACGUGAAAUUGUUGAAAGGGAAGCGCUGGCAACCAGACCUGCCCCGGGCGAUCAGCGGGUGUUCUCACCCGUGCACUCGCCCGCGAUCAGGCCAGCAUCGGUUUCGGCGGUCGGAUACAGACCCGGGGAACGUGGCUCUCUUCGGGGAGUGUUAUAGCCCCGGGUGCAAUGCGGCCAGCCGGGACCGAGGACCGCGCUUCGGCUANGAUGCUGGCGUAAUGGUUGUCAG